GUGAGGAAUAUUGGGCAAUGGGCGAAAGCCUGACCCAGCCACGCCGCGUGAGUGAUGAAGGCCUUCGGGUUGUAAAGCUCUGUGGGGAGGGAAGAAAAAGCGGGAGAGUAACUGCUCUCGUGUUGACGGUACCUCCUUAGCAAGCACCGGCUAACUCUGUGCCAGCAGCCGCGGUAAUACAGAGGGUGCAAACGUUGCUCGGAAUUACUGGGCGUAAAGCGCGUGUAGGCUGACAUGCAAGUCGGGUGUGAAAUCCCAGGGCUCAACCUUGGAACUGCAAUCGAAACUGCACGUCUUGAGUACUGGAGAGGGAAGCGGAAUUCCGGGUGUAGAGGUGAAAUUCGUAGAUAUCCGGAGGAACACCAGUGGCGAAGGCGGCUUCCUGGACAGUAACUGACGCUGAGACGCGAAAGCGUGGGGAGCAAACAGGAUUAGAAACCCGAGUAGUCC
rnacentral:rRNA from 1 species